UAGAGCCCUGCGGGGGAGAAACAGAAGGUUGAAGGCAGGAAGACGCGGGCAGGGGAGCCCAGCAGAGCCGCGCUUUAAAUGAACAUCCUCACCCCCGAAAUCACGACAGUUAAACUUGAUGUCAAGGACAGGCAAGUCAGUACAGUCUGGAUCAAUGGUCAACCAUGGUCUCAAGCCAGAGCAGUUAUGUUGUUGCAUGUGCUUCUCUACAUGCCUGCCAGCUGCACCACCAGCGGUCUGGGUGGUCGUACAUACAGCAUAAAAGACUUUGUAGGUCAAAAUCAGAACUCGUGGUUCUGAGCCAACGUGGACAUCAGUAACAUCCGCCCAUCCAUUUUCUUUAAUGAGCGCCAUUGAUCAAUGCAGCACAUAAGCUAGCACUAACAAUGCCAUGUGAAAUAACCAACCAAUCAUAAUGCUGGCACUUUGCUCUCACCAAGGGGAAGGGCGUUCAAGGAGUUUCGUGAAGUAGGUCGGCGAUAUCAGCAUAGCUGAAGUGUUCCAGGGGAAUCUAUGUUUCAGGAGGAUGUGCGACAAUCGGCUAUUUGUGUGACCUCACCUGCAGCGCCGCGGGCCUCGGCCCCAGCGCAGUCCCACCAUCACCCAGAAAGCCCCAUAAAGAAAACCAUGCUCCUUGUCAGAA